rnacentral:rRNA from 1 species
AUUGAACGCUGGCGGCAGGCCUAAUACAUGCAAGUCGAGCGGAUGAAGGGAGCUUGCUCCUGGAUGCAGCGGCGGACGGGCGAGUAAUGCCUAGGAAUCUGCCUUGUAGAGGGGGAUAACGUCCGGAAACGGGCGCUAAUACCGCAUACGUCCUGAGGUAGAAAGGGGGGGAUCUUCGGACCACACGCUAUUUGAUAAGCCUAAGACGGAUUAGCUAGUUGGUGUGGUAAAGGCCUACCAAGGCGACGAUCCGUAACUGGUCUGAGAGGAUGAUCAGUCACACUGGAACUGAGACACGGUCCAGACUCCUACGGGAGGCAGCAGUGGGGAAUCUUGGACAAUGGGCGAAAGCCUGAUCCAGCCAUGCCGCGUGUGUGAAGAAGGUCUUCGGAUUGUAAAACUCUUUAAGUUGGGAGGAAGGACAGUAAGUGUAUACCUUGCUGUCUUGACGUUACCAAAAGAGUAAGCCCCGGCUAACUUCGUG